rnacentral:rRNA from 1 species
UGGGGAAUAUUGGACAAUGGGCGCAAGCCUGAUCCAGCCAUGCCGCGUGAGUGACGAAGGUCUUCGGAUUGUAAAACUCUUUUGGCGGGGACGAUAAUGACGGUACCCGCAGAAUAAGCCCCGGCUAACUUCGUGCCAGCAGCCGCGGUAAUACGAAGGGGGCUAGCGUUGUUCGGAAUCACUGGGCGUAAAGCGCACGUAGGCGGAUGUGCCAGUCAGGGGUGAAAUCCCGGAGCUCAACUCCGGAACUGCCUCUGAUACUGCACGUCUUGAGUUCGAGAGAGGUGGGUGGAAUUCCUAGUGUAGAGGUGAAAUUCGUAGAUAUUAGGAAGAACACCGGUGGCGAAGGCGGCCCACUGGCUCGAUACUGACGCUGAGGUGCGAAAGCGUGGGGAGCAAACAGGAUUAGAUACCCAGUAGUCCCUGAGCGGGCUGGCAAGGCGCAU